rnacentral:rRNA from 1 species
CGAAUGCUGACAUAAGUAACGAUAAAGCGGGUGAAAAGCCCGCUCGCCGGAAGACCAAGGGUUCCUGUCCAACGUUAAUCGGGGCAGGGUGAGUCGACCCCUAAGGCGAGGCCGAAAGGCGUAGUCGAUGGGAAACAGGUUAAUAUUCCUGUACUUGGUGUUACUGCGAAGGGGGGACGGAGAAGGCUAUGUUGGCCGGGCGACGGUUGUCCCGGUUUAAGCGUGUAGGCUGGUUUUCCAGGCAAAUCCGGAAAAUCAAGGCUGAGGCGUGAUGACGAGGCACUACGGUGCUGAAGCAACAAAUGCCCUGCUUCCAGGAAAAGCCUCUAAGCAUCAGGUAACAUCAAAUCGUACCCCAAACCGACACAGGUGGUCAGGUAGAGAAUACCAAGGCGCUUGAGAGAACUCGGGUGAAGGAACUAGGCAAAAUGGUGCCGUAACUUCGGGAGAAGGCACGCUGAUAUGUAGGUGAAGUCCCUCGCGGAUGGAGCUGAAAUCAGUCGAAGAUACCAGCUGGCUGCAACUGUUUAUUAAAAACACAGCACUGUGCAAACACGAAAGUGGACGUAUACGGUGUGACGCCUGCCCGGUGCCGGAAGGUUAAUUGAUGGGGUUAGCGCAAGCGAAGCUCUUGAUCGAAGCCCCGGUAAACGGCGGCCGUAACUAUAACGGUCCUAAGGUAGCGAAAUUCCUUGUCGGGUAAGUUCCGACCUGCACGAAUGGCGUAAUGAUGGCCAGGCUGUCUCCACCCGAGACUCAGUGAAAUUGAACUCGCUGUGAAGAUGCAGUGUACCCGCGGCAAGACGGAAAGACCCCGUGAACCUUUACUAUAGCUUGACACUGAACAUUGAGCCUUGAUGUGUAGGAUAGGUGGGAGGCUUUGAAGUGUGGACGCCAGUCUGCAUGGAGCCGACCUUGAAAUACCACCCUUUAAUGUUUGAUGUUCUAACGUUGACCCGUAAUCCGGGUUGCGGACAGUGUCUGGUGGGUAGUUUGACUGGGGCGGUCUCCUCCUAAAGAGUAACGGAGGAGCACGAAGGUUGGCUAAUCCUGGUCGGACAUCAGGAGGUUAGUGCAAUGGCAUAAGCCAGCUUGACUGCGAGCGUGACGGCGCGAGCAGGUGCGAAAGCAGGUCAUAGUGAUCCGGUGGUUCUGAAUGGAAGGGCCAUCGCUCAACGGAUAAAAGGUACUCCGGGGAUAACAGGCUGAUACCGCCCAAGAGUUCAUAUCGACGGCGGUGUUUGGCACCUCGAUGUCGGCUCAUCACAUCCUGGGGCUGAAGUAGGUCCCAAGGGUAUGGCUGUUCGCCAUUUAAAGUGGUACGCGAGCUGGGUUUAGAACGUCGUGAGACAGUUCGGUCCCUAUCUGCCGUGGGCGCUGGAGAACUGAGGGGGGCUGCUCCUAGUACGAGAGGACCGGAGUGGACGCAUCACUGGUGUUCGGGUUGUCAUGCCAAUGGCACUGCCCGGUAGCUAAAUGCGGAAGAGAUAAGUGCUGAAAGCAUCUAAGCACGAAACUUGCCCCGAGAUGAGUUCUCCCUGACUCCUUGAGAGUCCUGAAGGAACGUUGAAGACGACGACGUUGAUAGGCCGGGUGUGUAAGCGCAGCGAUGCGUUGAGCUAACCGGUACUAAUGAACCGUGAGG